GUGAACGCUGGCGGCAGGCCUCACACAUGCAAGUCGAGCGGCAGCGCGGGGGCAACCCUGGCGGCGAGCGGCGGACGGGUGAGGAAUUCGUCGGAAUCUGCCUUUUUGUGGGGGAUAACGUAGGGAAACUUACGCUAAUACCGCAUACGUCCUACGGGAGAAAGUGGGGGACCGCAAGGCCUCACGCAGAAAGAUGAGCCGACGACCGAUUAGCUAGUUGGUGGGGUAAAGGCCCACCAAGGCGACGAUCGGUAGCUGGUCUGAGAGGAUGAUCAGCCACACUGGGACUGAGACACGGCCCAGACUCCUACGGGAGGCAGCAGUGGGGAAUAUUGGACAAUGGGCGCAAGCCUGAUCCAGCCAUGCCGCGUGUGUGAAGAAGGCCUUCGGGUUGUAAAGCACUUUUGUCCGGAAAGAAAUCCCUGGAGCUAAUACCUUCGGGGGAUGACGGUACCGGAAGAAUAAGCACCGGCUAACUUCGUG
rnacentral:rRNA from 1 species